GGGUUGUGAGGUUAAGCGACUAAGCGUACACGGUGGAUGCCCUGGCAGUCAGAGGCGAUGAAGGACGUGCUAAUCUGCGAAAAGCGCCGGCGAGGUGAUAUGAACCUUUGACCCGGCGAUGUCCGAAUGGGGAAACCCAGUGCAAUCCGUUGCACUAUCGUUAACUGAAUACAUAGGUUAACGAGGCGAACCGGGGGAACUGAAACAUCUAAGUACCCCGAGGAAAAGAAAUCAACCGAGAUUCCCCCAGUAGCGGCGAGCGAACGGGGAGCAGCCCGGAGUCUGAAUCAGCUUGUGUGUUAGUGGAACGGUCUGGAAAGUCCGACGGUACAGGGUGAUAGUCCCGUACACGAAAGCACACUUGCUGUGAACUCGAAGAGUAGGGCGGGACACGUGGUAUCCUGUCUGAAUAUGGGGGGACCAUCCUCCAAGGCUAAAUACUCCUGACUGACCGAUAGUGAACCAGUACCGUGAGGGAAAGGCGAAAAGAACCCCGGCGAGGGGAGUGAAAAAGAACCUGAAACCGUGUACGUACAAGCAGUGGGAGCCUCUUUAUGGGGUGACUGCGUACCUUUUGUAUAAUGGGUCAGCGACUUAUAUUCUGUAGCAAGGUUAACCGUAUAGGGGAGCCGAAGGGAAACCGAGUCUUAACUGGGCGUUAAGUUGCAGGGUAUAGACCCGAAACCCGGUGAUCUAGCCAUGGGCAGGUUGAAGGUUGGGUAACACUAACUGGAGGACCGAACCGACUAAUGUUGAAAAAUUAGCGGAUGACCUGUGGCUGGGGGUGAAAGGCCAAUCAAACCGGGAGAUAGCUGGUUCUCCCCGAAAGCUAUUUAGGUAGCGCCUCGUGAACUCAUCUUCGGGGGUAGAGCACUGUUUCGGCUAGGGGGCCAUCCCGGCUUACCAACCCGAUGCAAACUACGAAUACCGAAGAAUGUUAUCACGGGAGACACACGGCGGGUGCUAACGUCCGUCGUGAAGAGGGAAACAACCCAGACCGCCAGCUAAGGUCCCAAAGUCAUGGUUAAGUGGGAAACGAUGUGGGAAGGCACAGACAGCCAGGAUGUUGGCUUAGAAGCAGCCAUCAUUUAAAGAAAGCGUAAUAGCUCACUGGUCGAGUCGGCCUGCGCGGAAGAUGUAACGGGGCUAAACCAUGCACCGAAGCUGCGGCAGCGACGCUUAGGCGUUGUUGGGUAGGGGAGCGUUCUGUAAGCCGUUGAAGGUGUGCUGUGAGGCAUGCUGGAGGUAUCAGAAGUGCGAAUGCUGACAUAAGUAACGAUAAAGCGGGUGAAAAGCCCGCUCGCCGGAAGACCAAGGGUUCCUGUCCAACGUUAAUCGGGGCAGGGUGAGUCGACCCCUAAGGCGAGGCCGAAAGGCGUAGUCGAUGGGAAACAGGUUAAUAUUCCUGUACUUGGUGUUACUGCGAAGGGGGGACGGAGAAGGCUAUGUCAGCCGGGCGACGGUUGUCCCGGUUUAAGCAUGUAGGCGGAGGUUCCAGGUAAAUCCGGUACCUUAUUAACGCUGAGGUGUGAUGACGAGGCACUACGGUGCUGAAGUGAUAAAUGCCCUGCUUCCAGGAAAAGCCUCUAAGCAUCAGGUAACACGAAAUCGUACCCCAAACCGACACAGGUGGUCAGGUAGAGAAUACCAAGGCGCUUGAGAGAACUCGGGUGAAGGAACUAGGCAAAAUGGUGCCGUAACUUCGGGAGAAGGCACGCUGAUAUGUAGGUGAAGUCCCUGCGGACGGAGCUGAAAUCAGUCGAAGAUACCAGCUGGCUGCAACUGUUUAUUAAAAACACAGCACUGUGCAAACACGAAAGUGGACGUAUACGGUGUGACGCCUGCCCGGUGCCGGAAGGUUAAUUGAUGGGGUUAGCGGCAACGCGAAGCUCUUGAUCGAAGCCCCGGUAAACGGCGGCCGUAACUAUAACGGUCCUAAGGUAGCGAAAUUCCUUGUCGGGUAAGUUCCGACCUGCACGAAUGGCGUAAUGAUGGCCAGGCUGUCUCCACCCGAGACUCAGUGAAAUUGAACUCGCUGUGAAGAUGCAGUGUACCCGCGGCAAGACGGAAAGACCCCGUGAACCUUUACUAUAGCUUGACACUGAACACUGGUCCUUGAUGUGUAGGAUAGGUGGGAGGCUUUGAAGCGUGGACGCCAGUCUGCGUGGAGCCAACCUUGAAAUACCACCCUUUAAUGGCUGGUGUUCUAACGUAGACCCGUAAUCCGGGUUGCGGACAGUGUCUGGUGGGUAGUUUGACUGGGGCGGUCUCCUCCCAAAGAGUAACGGAGGAGCACGAAGGUUGGCUAAUCCUGGUCGGACAUCAGGAGGUUAGUGCAAUGGCAUAAGCCAGCUUGACUGCGAGCGUGACGGCGCGAGCAGGUGCGAAAGCAGGUCAUAGUGAUCCGGUGGUUCUGAAUGGAAGGGCCAUCGCUCAACGGAUAAAAGGUACUCCGGGGAUAACAGGCUGAUACCGCCCAAGAGUUCAUAUCGACGGCGGUGUUUGGCACCUCGAUGUCGGCUCAUCACAUCCUGGGGCUGAAGUAGGUCCCAAGGGUAUGGCUGUUCGCCAUUUAAAGUGGUACGCGAGCUGGGUUUAGAACGUCGUGAGACAGUUCGGUCCCUAUCUGCCGUGGGCGCUGGAGAAUUGAGGGGGGCUGCUCCUAGUACGAGAGGACCGGAGUGGACGCAUCACUGGUGUUCGGGUUGUCAUGCCAAUGGCACUGCCCGGUAGCUAAAUGCGGAAGAGAUAAGUGCUGAAAGCAUCUAAGCACGAAACUUGCCCCGAGAUGAGUUCUCCCUGAGAC
rnacentral:rRNA from 1 species